AGUCUUAUCGGGAUGCCCUUUACAAGUUCAUGGUGGAUACUGCCGUGCUUUUAGGAGCUAACAAUUCCAGAGCGGAGCAUGACAUGAAGUCAGUGCUCAGAUUGGAAAUUAAGAUAGCUGAGAUAAUGAUUCCACAUGAAAACCGAACCAGUGAGGCCAUGUACAACAAAAUGAACAUUUCUGAACUGAGUGCUGUGAUUCCCCAGUUCGACUGGCUGGGCUACAUCAAGAAGGUCAUUGACACCAGACUCUACCCCCAUCUGAAAGACAUCAGCCCCUCCGAGAAUGUGGUGGUCCGCGUCCCACAGUACUUUAAAGAUUUGUUUAGGAUAUUAGGGUCUGAGAGAAAGAAGUAAGAACUUUCAUGUGAAUUUUACUGUGACUUUUGUGUUUUCUUUAAAUUAUAAGGGCUUCCCUUCUCACAUCCUUUGAAAACUGUUUUUAAAGAAUGUUACAUCAAAAGAGUCAUAGGGAAAAUCCCGGUAUCCUUUGUGAUGAACUGGCCAAAAGCAUUGUCUGGUGUAAUUUACUUGCUGCAAUGAUAACAAAUGUUUUUGCCCUUUA
rnacentral:sRNA from 1 species